rnacentral:rRNA from 1 species
GACGGAGGGUGCUAGCGUUGUUCGGAAUCACUGGGCGUAAAGGGCGCGUAGGCGGCCUUGCAAGUCGGUUGGUGAAAGCCCGGGGCUCAACCCCGGAGGUGCGGCCGAGACUGCAGGGCUGGAGGCCGAAGAGGAGGGUGGAAUACCCAGUGUAGAGGUGAAAUUCGUAGAUAUUGGGUGGAACACCGGUGGCGAAAGCGGCUCUCGUGGUCCGGACCUGACGCUGAGGCGCGAAAGCGUGGGGAGCAAACAGG